AUUGAACGCUGGCGGCAUGCCUUACACAUGCAAGUCGAACGGCAGCGGGCCUUCGGGUGCCGGCGAGUGGCGAACGGGUGAGUAAUGCAUCGGAACGUGCCAUUGAGUGGGGGAUAACGUAGCGAAAGUUGCGCUAAUACCGCAUAUUCUGUGAGCAGGAAAGCAGGGGACCGCAAGGCCUUGCGCUCUUUGAGCGGCCGAUGUCAGAUUAGCUAGUUGGUGAGGUAAAGGCUUACCAAGGCGACGAUCUGUAGCGGGUCUGAGAGGAUGAUCCGCCACACUGGAACUGAGACACGGUCCAGACUCCUACGGGAGGCAGCAGUGGGGAAUUUUGGACAAUGGGCGCAAGCCUGAUCCAGCCAUGCCGCGUGAGUGAAGAAGGCCUCGGUUGUAAG
rnacentral:rRNA from 1 species